GUGGAUGUAGCCAAAUGGACCAAGGUAGUGGAUUGUGAAUCCACCACACUUGGGUUCAAUCCCCCUCAUUCACC
rfam:Picea glauca, whole genome shotgun sequence.